GGAGGCAGGGAUGGGCGAGUGUGAGCAGCACGCCGCGUAGCGAUGAAGGCCUUCGGGUCGUAAAGCUCUGUCCUCAAGGAAGAUAAUGACGGUACUUGAGGAGGAAGCCCCGGCUAACUACUUGCCAGCAGCCGCGGUAAUACUGGAUGCCACCACCCGCGGUAAUACGGGACCCACCAC
rnacentral:rRNA from 1 species